rnacentral:rRNA from 1 species
CAGUAGCCGCGGUAAUACGGAGGGUGCAAGCGUUAAUCGGAAUUACUGGGCGUAAAGCGCACGCAGGCGGUCUGUCAAGUCAGAUGUGAAAUCCCCGGGCUUAACUUGGGAACUGCAUUUGAAACUGGCAGGCUAGAGUCUUGUAGAGGGGGGUAGAAUUCCAGGUGUAGCGGUGAAAUGCGUAGAGAUCUGGAGGAAUACCGGUGGCGAAGGCGGCCCCCUGGACAAAGACUGACGCUCAGGUGCGAAAGCGUGGGGAGCAAACAGGAUUAGAGACCCGCGUAGUCCCUGUCUCUUAUAC